AAGAAUUUAAGUUAUUUGAAACUUUUGAUUUUCAAAAUCAACAUUGGCCGCUGCUAAUUCUUA
rnacentral:tRNA from 1 species